GACGAACGCUGGCGGCGUGCCUAACACAUGCAAGUCGAACGGUCAAGCGCCUUCCUUUUUUGUGGGUGUGGAUGAGUGGCGGACGGGUGAGUAACUCGUGAGUAACCCGCCCCGUCCUGCUGAAUAACCGCAUGAAAGUGUUGCUAAUACGGGAUAUUCUGGAUCGGUCGCAUCAUGGGUCUGGGAAAGUUUUUGUUUCGGUGGUGGAUGGGCUCGCGCACUAUCAGCUUGUUGGUAUGGUGAUGGCCUACCAAGGCGAUGACGAGUAGCCGGCCUGAGAGGGUGGACGAUCACACUGGGACUGAGACACCGCCAAGACUCCGACGGGAGGCAGCAGUGAAGCAUAUGGAACGAUGGGAGGAAGGACGAAGCAGCGACGCGGCGUGGAGGAUGGAGGCCUGCGGGUUGUGCUCCUCUUUCGCGAGAGAAGCAGGGCUGCCUCGUUUGUGGAUGGGUUGACGGUACCUGGAUAAGAAGCCCCGGCUAACUACGUG
rnacentral:rRNA from 1 species